UACGUAGGGUGCAAGCGUUAUCCGGAAUUAUUGGGCGUAAAGAGCUCGUAGGCGGUUUGUCGCGUCUGCUGUGAAAACCGGAGGCUCAACCUCCGGCCUGCAGUGGGUACGGGCAAACUAGAGUGCGGUAGGGGAGAUUGGAAUUCCUGGUGUAGCGGUGGAAUGCGCAGAUAUCAGGAGGAACACCGAUGGCGAAGGCAGAUCUCUGGGCCGUAACUGACGCUGAGGUGCGAAAGCGUGGGGAGCAAACAGG
rnacentral:rRNA from 1 species